rnacentral:rRNA from 1 species
UGCCAGCCGCCGCGGUAAUACGGAGGGUGCGAGCGUUAAUCGGAAUCACUGGGCGUAAAGCGUACGUAGGUGGCAAGGUCAGUCAGGCGUGAAAGCCCUCGGCUCAACCGAGGAAUUGCGUUUGAUACUGCUUUGCUAGAGUCUCGGAGAGGUUGGCGGAAUUCCAGGUGUAGGAGUGAAAUCCGUAGAUAUCUGGAGGAACACCAGUGGCGAAGGCGAUCUCUUGGUCCAUAACUGACGCUGAGGCGCGAAAGCGUGGGGAGCAAACAGGAUUAGAUA